rnacentral:rRNA from 1 species
CCUACGGGCGGCUGCAGUAGGGAAUAUUGCUCAAUGGGGGAAACCCUGAAGCAGCAACGCCGCGUGGAGGAUGAAGGUUUUCGGAUUGUAAACUCCUUUUGUUAGAGAAGAUAAUGACGGUAUCUAACGAAUAAGCACCGGCUAACUCCGUGCCAGCAGCCGCGGUAAUACGGAGGGUGCAAGCGGUACUCGGAAUCACUGGGCGUAAAGAGCGCGUAGGCGGGAUAGCAAGUCAGAUGUGAAAUCCUAGGGCUUAACCAUAGAACUGCAUUUGAAACUGUUUGUCUAGAGUAUGGGAGAGGUAGGUGGAAUUCUUGGUGUAGGGGUAAAAUCCGUAGAGAUCAAGAGGAAUACUCAUUGCGAAGGCGACCUGCUAGAACAUAACUGACGCUGAUGCGCGAAAGCGUGGGGAGCAAACAGGAUUAGAUACCCCUGUAGUC